GCUGCCCCUAGAGGUAUUACAGGUGUGGCUUCUAUGUCACAUGUAUAUCAUUAGGUGACCGAGAGGCUAUGUCACACUCAGUGUUCUAAUCUGUAAGCAUCUGAAUUAUUAGCAGCCUAACAUU
ensembl:snoRNA LOC120093451 small nucleolar RNA SNORA17